ACACUCCUGCGGGAGGCAGCAGUGGGGAAUUUUGGACAAUGGGCGAAAGCCUGAUCCAGCAAUGCCGCGUGAGUGAAGAAGGCCUUCGGGUUGUAAAGCUCUUUUGUCAGGGAAGAAACGGUGAAAGCUAAUAUCUUUUGCUAAUGACGGUACCUGAAGAAUAAGCACCGGCUAACUACGUGCCAGCAGCCGCGGUAAUACGUAGGGUGCAAGCGUUAAUCGGAAUUACUGGGCGUAAAGCGUGCGCAGGCGGUUUUGUAAGUCUGAUGUGAAAUCCCCGGGCUCAACCUGGGAAUUGCAUUGGAGACUGCAAGGCUAGAAUCUGGCAGAGGGGGGUAGAAUUCCACGUGUAGCAGUGAAAUGCGUAGAUAUGUGGAGGAACACCGAUGGCGAAGGCAGCCCCCUGGGUCAAGAUUGACGCUCAUGCACGAAAGCGUGGGGAGCAAACAGGAUUAGAAACCCUAGUAGUCCAUGA
rnacentral:rRNA from 1 species